AAUAUGGGACAAUGGGGGCAACCGUGAUCCAUCCAUGCCGCGUGUGUGAAGAAGGUCUUCGGAUUGUAAAGCACUUUAAGUUGGGAGGAAGGGCUUUAGGUUAAUACCCUGAAGUUUUGACGAUACCAACCGAAUAAGCACCGGCUAACUACGUGCCAGCAGCCGCGGUAAUACAGAGGGUGCAAGCGUUAAUCGGAAUUACUGGGCGUAAAGCGCGCGUAGGUGGUUCAGUAAGAUGGGUGUGAAAUCCCCGGGCUUAACCUGGGAACUGCUUUCAUAACUGCUGAGCUAGAGUACGGUAGAGGGUAGUGGAAUUUCCUGUGUAGCGGUGAAAUGCGUAGAUAUAGGAAGGAACAUCAGUGGCGAAGGCGACUACCUGGACUGAUACUGACACUGAGGUGCGAAAGCGUGGGGAGCAAACAGG
rnacentral:rRNA from 1 species